ACCUUCUUUCUAGAAGACCUUUGGCGAUCUGCGGUUGUGCAGAGAUCAGUCCACAAAACUCACUGGCACCCGACUGUUGUUUUCCAUUUGACUGGUGGGUGAAUUUCGUCGAAUUCUUGAGUGUUAAUACAUCAAAAACCCUUUGUGUCAGCUGCUCGGCGUCAGCUUCCUCACCUUAAACGUGACGUUACAUAAGGAGUGCACGUGACGCUGCGUGUGCCUGAGAGAAACGUCUGACGUCAACAUUUGGAGCUGCUGAGCUGACGGACUGAGGGCGGACCACAACAAAAGCUCUGUUCAAAACAAAAUAACUUCGCUGAAUCUUCUACGACCGUAUUUGAACAUUUAGAGGGACCAUGUCUUCAGUGAAAUGCUCAAGAUAUUCCCUGUACUGGGAGGAGACUGAGUGCCUGAGCUACUACGAGACGCUUUCACUCCAUGAGAUCUUUGAAAUCGUGGGUUCUCAACUCACAGAGACUGAUGUGGAAGUUCUGUCCUUUCUCCUCGACGAAACUUAUCCUGGUAAACAUCCUCUUGAUCCAGAGGGGUGGACUGAAGAUCUGCCUCCAGGACCUGAUGGAUCUCCACAGGCUAAUACUCCGUGUCCUCGGCUUCUGAAGUCAUGGCAAAGAAUGCAGCCGCAGAAGGAGGGAUGUUCUAUCGCCAGUCGCCACCGACCCAAGAGUGGCGUCGAACUGCUGUUAGAGCUGGAAAGACGAGGGUACUUGAGCGAUGCAAAUCUAAGACCUCUACUUCAGUUGCUGCGGAUUCUGACCCGACAUGAUGUCCUGCCUUUUGUCUCACAAAAGAAAAGAAGAACCGUUUCUCCAGAACGACAGAAGAUAGACUAUCCAGAGGUGGAUUUUAGACAAGACAGAGAAGUGGGCUCAAACACAAAUAUACCAUCUUUUGAAAACACACAAGAUCAUCAUUGGAGAGCUGGUUCUGGCUCUUCAAUGACAUCAGCCUCCAGCAAUCGAAGAAAGCGAGGAAGAGGUCACCACUGGAGCAGGAAAUCAAGAGGGCCGCCUGAAAUCCAGCCUCAGUCAACACCCAACAAAGUGACGUGCGGUUGGCUCAAGAUUCAAUAGAAAAAGCAGGAGAAUGGAUAGAGUGAAAAAGACAGAGCUCACAACAGUAACAAGUGUAUGCUGUCCGCUCUGUCCGAUCGCGCACAGUCAAGACAUGUGUGUGUGCUUUAAGUCACGCACGCCUGGUCCAUGUCCUAAGUUGAAAAACAGACUGACACAAGUGUCAGGAACAAAAACAAGUUGGCCAUCCUCACAUACUAAGAGAGGGAGAGAAUGAAAGAAAAAAAAAAGUCAAAAGAAAAGCUCGACUCUGACCCAUGUGUACAGUCGGUCAGCUUUUUGCCCGCGUUUCUCUCCCUCCAUCUUGGUUUGUUCAGCAGAAAAGAGGGAUCGAAAUAAAAAUGGAAGCUCUUCGCAUGGAGCAACACCCCAUAAAAUGAUGCAGAACGUAUUUGUUUGAGUUUCAUAAAAAUACUGAUUUAUUGUUUGUUUAUUUUGAGGAAACAUGUAUUUGCAGCAUAUUUACAAAAUUCUGAAAUAUUUGUGAAUACAUGCUACUUUUUGAAAGUUCUCUGGGAUGCAACAAAUGAUCAAAAAAAAAAAACAUGCUAACAAAGAGAGCAUUACACAUUCGCACAAAAAAAAAAAAAGCCACUGUAUUUUUAAUAUUGGAUACUUUCUGUGUUCUGAAGCUACGAUCAGUGAAACCAAUGCCCUGUAUUAGUGUACGUGAGGAGCUCUGACAAUGUCUGUGCAAUGAAACCUAAAGUGUUCUGUAAAUGUGUGCUGUUUAAAAGAACAAUGAAGAAGCUUUGUGUUUGGAGUCUGCUUUCAACCACCUACAUUACAGAUGAUUAUUUUGGGGAGCACGUUCAGGAGAAGAUCACACCAAGAUCUUUGAAACUUUUCAAAACUAUACAAUAUUAAUAUGUUCUUAUAAGGUUUUGGCCACAAAUCUUUAAAAAUUUACAAAUCAUUUAUUUAAACAUGCUAGUUGUGUCAGUAUUACCCUUAAACGUGUUAGAUAUCACAUCAUGGGCUAGCUUCCCACCAAUAAUGAAUCGUCUAUUUAAUUUACCAUUUCGACAGCCAAAAUGAAAGGGUCUUUUCUAUGGUACAACAUUAACGAGGAUUCUUUUGUUAAAACUAUAUUCAAUGGCAACUGUCAUUUUAAAAUGCAAAAUCAAAAAAAAAAAAAUCAUCUAGGCAAAAUUUUUUGGUAGUCAUUGGCUUGGAUUAUAAUUAGCAUUAUGAUAGAUAAAUCACCAUAAGGUGCUUUAAAUAAUAGCACAUCUUUACUUUGAGGGUGAACUACAACUUUGCUUAUUGUGGAUCUAAAAUACAGUCAUAGUGUGCUUCUCAAUCAGUUAUGAAUACAAUGGAAAAGGCCGAUGUUGGUUCACUACACAUUGGAGGUACUGAUUGUGAAUUAAAAAAAACAUUUUCAGCACAUUUUUAAAUCAGUUGUUCAUAUGCCAGCAAUCAUUAAUUAAGUAUAAAUGCUUACUAGAUUGUUCUGUACCUUAUUUGUUUGUUUGUUUAAAUAUAAAUGAAAAGCCGUUUCUUUAAAAAAAAAAAAAAAAAAACGACGAGUUUAUUCCUGUUUCCCGCUUCAGAACUUCUGUUAAGGUUUCUGAUUUUCAUGGUGCAUUGUAGGACUUUUUUUAAGGGGGCAAAUGUUUCAGUGCACUGGAAGAAUUAUGGAAUUGAGACAGCCCUUAAUAUGAUUGACUUGUAAAUUGAUUAGUACCCUGACUACUGAACAAGGGACCUGAUUGAGAUGCACCAAAUUGAGUCUACACUGUAAAACAUAUUAUGACUGAAAGCCAUCACAACAAAAGCUUUUAUGUUGGUUUAACUAUUUUAUAAGUCAAUUGAGUUUCAACUAAUUGUUUUAAGUUUGACUAAAUUAAUUUUUAGUCAGUUUGACUGAUGUAAGUUCACAUCACUAGAGAAGAUCGUUUUAUUUAACAAAAAUGUUAAGGCAUUUUUACAGUGCAGUUUAAUAAGACUUUAGUAAAAAAAAUUACAUAGGUAAAGCAUUAGUAUAACUUUAUGGACUCACAUUACAUUUUACAUGCACUAGAAUAAAUAAAAAAAACUGAGUUUUUUUAUUUCAUCAAAACUGCAUUUAUUUGAUUGUUUAUUCCAGCUUAAAAUAAAUUGUAAUUUAUAAUUGCGCCAGAAUUUUUCAAUAGGGGCAUUGUUACUUAUUCAAUGGAGAUAAGUUCAGUAAUCUAAUUUAGUGAACAAAUGUUUACAUUUUGUUUUUAUUAUCUUGUUGAUACAUGUAUUGAUUAUUGAUACAAACAAACAAUUUAAAAAAACUUAGUCGUAGUCUUUGGUGGUGUAUUUGUAAUUAUUGACAAUGUUUACUUGCUAAUUUCUUAUAUGAACUGUAGACAUUCAUUAUUGAUUCUAGAACAAAGGGAAUAUUCAUGGUCAGGUAUUUAGUUCCAGUCAAUUUACUAAUAACUUUAGGUUAAACUUUAUUUUACAGUGUCCUUGUUACAGUAACUACUCAUUUUAAUACCAAGUAACAUUAAUUAUCUGCAUGUACUUGCAAAAGUUAUAGUGUUAGAAUGCAGGUUAGGUUUAGGAUUCAUUGCAAAUAAUUAUGCAAAAUUAAUUCAGAAGUACAAGGAAGGUGUGUAACAGGGGCACCUUAAAAUAAAGUGUUACCCUAAAGCGCUACUGUUCACAAAUACUUCAUAAAUACAGUCUGUUCUAAAGAUGGGCAAGCUCGGCCAUGGAGGGCUGGUGUCCUGCAGAGUUUAGCUCCAAUAAUCAAUCACACUUGCUUGUAGCUUUCUUGACGAUUCUGAUUAGCCUAAGCUGUGUUUGGUUAGUGUUGUGGCCAAACUCUAGAGUACAGCAGCCCUCCAGGGCCGAGCUUGUCCGUCCAUAGACUAUUCAGUCAUUUAAGCAAUGUAAUAUUAUUUCCCCUUAUAAAGGAGCUGAGUCUUAGUUAGUCACCUACCUGACCGAUUGGUUUUUAUUUUCAUAAUAACCUACCAUGUCAACUUCCCAACUUUCAAAAACGGUGGAGUUUGUGAUGGAGCUUUGGUUGUAGAAAGGUUGGAUUUGUGUUGCAGCAAUGUUCGGAAGAUUGAUGGGUCCACUUCCUCCUCUGAGCUAAUGACAUGAAAGGAAAUGACAUCACUGCGAAGCUCUGGUUCAGUAUGUAUACUCCAAUCGUAUUUUGCCGUCUCUGUUCCCUGUGCUGUUGCAUGACAUCAGUUCUACCUGCACUGUUUGGUAAAGCCAACCAGCAUAUAUGCGUCUAUUAAUAAGACCUCUUUGGAAUUGGGAUGCACAUAUGAAAGUAGAACCUUCCAAUGUGAGCCAUCUCCGGAAUUUAGCUUGAGGUUCUUUCAGUCCACCUGAACCUACCGAAAGGCCAAAUCUCCCCAACACCCUUGUGACCUGUGAUUUACAAGUGCUACGAUCAGUAGACAUGUUGAACUUUACCAAUGUGUUCCCAUGUGCCUGCAAACAAUUCGGAAGAUCAGUUCACUCCUAAACCUGAACUAGCCUGCAAGUUUCACUCAGAACCUCACUGACUACCAGUGAAGAAUCCCGCUCAAUCGACUCACUGUUAAAGAUUAUUGAGGCCUCAGAUAUCCAGUAGAUCUCAGAGCUGAUGCCGUACCAAAAAGAGCGCAUACUGGUUUAAUACACGAAAUUAAUAUUAGGAGCAAAUCUGUGAAUCAUUGCUAUCCUUUAGUUAUUUUUUAUACCAAAAUGUUCGGUUUAAACCAAUAAGUCUCAUUAUCACUGUACUUUUUUGCCCUCCUCUUGACUCCCCCACUGAUCUGCGUCACUAUUCUCCCCUUUUUCUCCACCACUAUCUCUUGUUUCUCUCUAUCCCUCCUGAAAAUCUCCACAUCUUCUCGAUUUUCUCUGCAUGCCACCCUUCUUCCCACCUCCUCUGUCUCUCUGUGUCCUUCAUGCUCUUGGCUCUCAGAUAUCCGACUGCGGGUGCGAGCGGAGUAUUCGGAGCAUGAGUCGGCUCUUCGUGGAGGGGUUUCCUCAGACAAGCCGCAGCCGCUGGAGAGGCAGUUUGAGCUGUUCAGCCGGGCCAGUUUGCUGCUCCGCACUCGCGAUCUGGGCUCUAUUGUGUGUGACAUCAAGUUCUCUGAGCUCACCAACCUGGACGCCUUCUGGGCGGAUUACCUGAGCGGGGCGCUACUCGAGGCGCUGAAGGGGGUCUUCAUUACGGACUCCUUGAAAAGGGCAGCAGGGCAGGAGGGUGUUCGGCUGCUGGUUAGUGUGGAUCAGGAUGACUAUGAGGAGGGCAGGAAACUGCUGAUCAACAGCCAGACACAAAACUGGACAAACUGGGAAGCACAGAGGCCCUGAAAGAUUUCGGUUUCACCUAGGACCUUCGGCUGUGAUGGAUGAAGAUGUUUUGCCUUUUUAUUUCAUUGUUCAUUAAGUGCUGGUGACCCUGUGGGAUGGAGAUCCUGCUGGAGGAGUCGCGAUUAAACCGGCCAGCCAUUUUGUUGGACAUUGACCAUUUCUGAAAGACACUGAUAGGAAAUUCUUGACCGUUUAGAGGAAAGAUCUGCAUCUCUGAAUACUACUUACUCUGCCACAGGUGGAAUGUGAAUUAAUUUCAAAACAUGGUGCAAACUGUUCAUUAAACCCUUGAAUUUGACUGGAAAGUAAAAAAAAUAAAUAAAUAAAAGUUGAUGCAAUAAAUGUAUAAUAGGAAUACAGAGAAGAGUUUGCAAAAUAACCACCUUAAAAAGUGACAAGAAACAGUAAGAUUGGAAUAAUUAUACAGUGAUUUUUUAUUUUUAUUAGAUCUCCUGUUUUGAAAAGGGUCAAUGCUAAGUUAAUUCUUAAGAGUUUGGGCUGGUAAUAAUACUUCAGAUGACCAAAUGCACUCGUCUGCUAGAAGGCUUGUAAUAUUCUGUAUGCAGUACUUGACUGGACCAGGUCUAACAAAAUCUGAAGCUGUGUUAAGGAUCAGGAGAUGCCACAAGAUGCUGUAGUGAUUCUGAUUUAUUACAGGGACUCCACAAUGUCACCACUGUGAGACUAAAUUCGUCCCAAAACUCAAUAGCGAUGUUAUUUGUCUCAGAAACGUGGUCAUUGAGUCGUGAAUUACCAGGGCUUUGAAAGGCCUUCGUGAACUGGCGAGAGAAAAAAUGAAAGAAAGAAAAAUUAACUAUUGUUAAUUAAAAUUAGAUGACCUCUGAUUUGACACCAGCCAGAUUUGAAAGACAACCUUUGACCUGACUGGUGUGAGAUGGAAAAAGGAAGAAUAUGUUGGCCUUUUUGUUAUAUUUGUACCUUUAUGACAAAAAUGUAAAGAAGAUAAAAGCUGAGUAUGUGGUUGGUGGUUAUUCAGUUGGAAUCAGUCCUGUCAUAUGACUGAUUAUUAAGUCAAUUUGGAGUGUAAAAUUAAAAACUGUUUUGUGUUUCGUGUUUUUGUUUAAUAUGACUUUACUAGAUAUUGUUUUGGAAUAUGUACAUUUACUUAAAUAUGGUUAUUAAUAAAGUAUUGUCAGUAAA